rnacentral:rRNA from 1 species
GUGCCGACCACUAGCUGCGGCCACUCCCGCCGCCCACCGUUGCUGCCCGUCCUGCGGCCACUCCCAACCGCCGUCCGCAGCACGUAAGUUCCUCAACGCGCUCUACGCCCUGGUUUCCUUCCUCUUCGAGUCCCGUUUGGCAAAAAGACGGAUUAGGUUACCGGGUGGACCUAGUGUAAGCUGCCCGAUGCGAACUGGCCGGCUUUAUCAACCCGGCCACGCGGCCGCGCAUAAUCAGCGGUAAGUCAAUUACUUCCUUAGCUAGAGAGGUUGAACCAUAGUCUGUGGUCCGUUGUGGAAGGUACCGGUCCUUGAGGUGGAGGAUGCGGUGGAGGAGCCGGUGGUCGAUCCGGUGGAGCGGCCCCCAGGAGAGGAGGAGCCGUGAUCGCGGCCGUGGUGCCUACGGCAGCCGCCGAGGAGAGGAGGAAAGUAGAAACCCUGAUGAGGGAGAGAGGUGUUGCCGGAAAGGGGGGACGGUUGAGAGUCAAGAGGGGGACAAGAGGAGGUGACACUGCGGCGGUGGUGGAGGCCGAGGGGCACGGACGUUGGGAUAAAAGUUGCUGUUGUAGGUCUUGGUGUAGUUCAAGGAGGAGUUGGGGCUGCUUGUGUUAAUACUGUUCACCUUCAGUAAGAAGGACGACCAGAACUAGGCGAUGCGACGGUGGGUUAAGUAGCUCGUCGGGGAGGGUGGGUUACGGUGAUGGGUCGUGGCGCUCGAACUGCGGGUGCGGACGAUACCUAGAUGUGGUGGGAGCGACUGUUGGAGCGGCUAGUACAGCAGCCCCGAUGGUGGUGCAUACUGGAGACCUUGGCGGAGGCACUGAUGAAGGGCCGUUUAGUACACCGGGCCAUGUACUACGAGUUAGCCAUCAUGGCGUUGGAGUUUGUACCCCCCGGAGAGGCAGCGGCUCAUGCGGGCGGUGUACUUCGAAGAGUGGCGGCCCGAACGGCUGUAGCUGGUACGGCAGUGGCUCGUGAUCAUCUUUUCUCCCGAAGCCAAGUCCGGCUCAGUCGGGUAAUCAGGGCCAAGUCAGGUCCUGGUCCUGGGUACCCCGUGACCAGGGUCAAGCACUCCGGUCCCCGGACGGCCCGGUGCACCCCCGUAACCAGGGCCAAGCAGACCGGAGAAACCAGGGCCAACCACCCUGCUUGGCCCUGGUUACCCAGAGCGAGGACCGGGUGGUGGUAACCAUGGCCAACCACCGUGGUUGGCCCUGGUAUCCGACAGGAAAUCAGGGCCAAGUACGGUGCUUGGCCCUGGCUACUCCACGGAUAUAUAUGGGGAGCGGGCGCUCGUCUCGUGAGGUAACGAGACAAAAAGAGACCGGCCGCUCCCCUCCCGUAACACCACGAGAUCGAGUGGAGGAUACGUGUACUCCACAAGCUAUUUUACGGGCUCGGUGUGAUCAAUUCGAAAGAGGAGAGCUUCGAACUGGAGUUUCGAGGUAAAAGGAGCUCUAAACAGAUCCAAAUCGCCGGGCAGUGCAGGGUAAGGGCAGAAGUGGCGGCAGCUAGUGGGCGUGGCUAGAGCAACGGCCGUGGUGGCACACGCUACCAAAACCAUAGGCGGGGGCAGCCGGGAGCAGGACAGAUACUAAGCCUACACCUCCAUACACUUGGCCUUUAAGGUUGGCUGGGAUAACAGCUCUCCAAUUUAAAUCAACUUCUUCUUUUGUUAAAGAACUUCCUUUUUUUUUAACUCCUCCUCUUCUACUAUAACCUCAACGUACAACGCCUACAGCAGCUACUAGUGUUCUAGUUCUACCUACGUUACGCGAACUUCUAAUCUUUAUAAUCUUUUAUACGGUAAGUAUGGCUCCGAACCAUAGUAAUACGACAGCCUAGUUAACAAUGGAACCAACGCUAAUACUAGCGUAAACAAAAGCGUAACUUUACAAAAUGUAUCAAAGUUACAUACCAAAUUAAUUAAUGUACGAGAUCUCUCUAUAUACAACAAUCUACUCUUGUUACAUACAUGAAACCAAAAUUGCACUACUACUUG